rnacentral:rRNA from 1 species
GCAUCUGUGCAUGCAGCAUAUCAAUAAGCGGAGGAAAAGAAACUAACAAGGAUUCCCUUAGUAACGGCGAGUGAAGCGGGAAGAGCUCAAAUUUGAAAUCUUCAAGGUUUUACCUUGACGAAUUGUAGUUUAAAGAAGUGUUUUCUGUUGAAGUUUUGGUAAAAGUUCUUUGGAAUAGGACAUCAUAGAGGGUGAGAAUCCCGUAUUUGACCAUUAUUUUCAGCUGUGUGAUACACUUUCAAAGAGUCGGAUUGUUUGGGAAUGCAGUCCGAAAUGGGUGGUAAAUUUCAUCUAAAGCUAAAUAUUGGCGAGAGACCGAUAGCGAACAAGUACCGUGAGGGAAAGAUGAAAAGAACUUUGAAAAGAGAGUUAAACAGUACGUGAAAUUGUCAAAAGGGAAGCGUUUGACACCAGUGUUGUUUUCUCGAAAAUCAAUUAAAAAGAGUUAGAUUUUGUUGUGUAUUGACCUUAACAGCUUGCAUUUCAAUUUUCUUGCUUUUUUUAAUGCACUUUUCGUUUAACAAGUCAACAUCAGUUUCUUUUGUUGUAAAAAGGUCAUUGGAAGGUGGCUUUCUUUUCGGAGAAAGUGUUUAUAGUCCUUUGACUCCUGCAAUCGGAGAGACUGAGGUCUGCAGCGUAGAUCCUUCGGGGUUAGAUACAUUUGUGCUAAGUUAUAGCUUUUUAUAGACAACUUGUUGACUAUGAUUAGUCUUGUAGCUUACUCGCUUAUGCUAUUUUACCUACGCUUAGGAUGUUGACACACGCGCGUGCUCG